CGCUCCCCGAUGCUGAUCUGAUCACUUCACGAUAAUCAGUCACAUGACCGGGGUGCAGCAACGGAUUUCUCUUCCCAGACAGUCAGGCGCCGAGUGAUGCAAUCACGUAACCGACAGUUUCGAAUCUGGCCAAUGAUGUUCCUCGAUCAUCCAGCCGUGUUUGCACUGUCGGAGUCCCCGUCGCUCUCGCUGCGAGAAACGAAUGUAUCCGGCCGUGCUCCCGAAACUUUUGAGGAAUUCCAACAUUUUUAAGCGAUUCAUCGAGUGGAUGACUGCGUGCUGCAGCUGUGCUUUUCAUCUCCUGCGUGCGUACAAAACUGGAAUGCUGGAGGACUUCAGCUCAAGAAUGUCAUGCUGGACCACUACCAGAGCGUGCUUAAAGGAAUCAAUGCCUUGAUGAAGGUAUCACCGAAGUGC